ensembl:lncRNA
GAAAGAAAUAUGAUAAUGCACUCCAAAAAUAAAUUAAUAAAUAAAGCCUGCUUUUUUAAUAUAUAUUAUUGAAUAUUUAUUACAGGGUUGUGAUCAACAUUUAAUUAACUCUUUCUCUCCUUUUUUUUUUUUUUUUUUUUUUUUGUGACCAGAACAAAGACAUUCCAAAGCAGAAAAACUACACAUUUCAUCAGACCAACAUACUGUGCUGUGUACAGACCUGCAAAGAUGCCCUUUCCACAGUUUUUAAGACUAUUUGGGGGCCAAAUGACCAAAAUGAGUAUGGUGACUUCAGUUCCACUGAGCAUUUUGUUAGUGGGUUUGCAGGCGAUGACUGAUGUAAAAUUUUCAUGUCCGUGCAUUCAUAAGUGGAAUAUAACUAUAUCAAUUUUAAUCUUUGUUGCUCCUGCUUGUGUUGCUUUUGUUAUAAUGCUAUUGUUAUUAAGGCCUUGGAAAUAUGAAUGUGAACGGAAUAAAUGGAAAUGUGGCUGUUGUGGAAAACAAAACAACAGAGGAGCAUCUCAAGGAGGAAACAACGGAGGAGCAUCUCAAGGAGGAAACAACAGAGAAGCAUUUCAAAGAGUAGACAAGAAAGAAGCAUCUCAGUCUGAAAUAAAUGAGCUUAAUGUAAAUUUGAGUUGUGAAAAAGCUGUUUUAGUUUGUUUUACUCCGAGUCUUGUGUGGAUCUGUUUAUGUUUCAUUGAUGGUGAUUAUCUCGCAUGUGGAGCUACAUACUGGGAUGGACACUAUGCCUGUGAUAAAGAACUGCAUCCAAAUUGUCUGAAUUGGUGCAAACCCAAUGAUCUGAGCCAAGGAAAAAAAGAGACUGAACAAGAAUAUGUAAAAACACGACAUGUGAUUGCCAUAUCAAAGACUACAGGUUAUGUUCUGGCUAUUAUCCUCUGCAUCAUAGCAAUUAUUAUUGUGAUGUGUGACUGCUGCAAAUGUGGAAAAUCAACAUGCUGUGGAAGUACAGAUCCAGAGAGACAGAGUCAUAGAGGGCAAGAUCCAGGUACUGCCGAGAUAAACAGAGACAGCGGAGGAGCAUCUCAAGGAGGAGACAUCAGAGGAGCAUCUCAAGGAGGAGACAACGGAGGAGCAUCUCAAGGAGGAGACAUCGGAGGAGCAUCUCAAGGAGGAGACAAAGGAGGAGCAAGUGAGAUUGUCAGACUCAUGGACACCCCUUUGUAAGUGACAGUAUCAGUGACAUCAAAUGCCAUCAGCUUUUGUGUACAUUGUGACCUUACAAAGUUUGGUUGUAUCUUCUUGUGAGAUUUUUAGUUGAAAAUAUUACAUUAUUUCUCACAUAAGGUAUGGCAUACAGCACAGGAGUCAAGGGUAUUUUUGUACUGAUUUUUUUUUUUCUUUUGUAUUUUUACAUUUUUUUUAUAAAAGAUGCUUUGCAAGCUGCAUAAAGAAAUGAAUAAUACAGUUCAUAGAGGUUUGUAUGUUACAUUUACAUUUUAUUCCAAAGAUUAAUUUCCUGUUUGUGAUUUUAUUUUACUUUUUAAUUGAGAUAUUAAAAAAAAAAAAAAAAAAACUUCACAAGUUGUUUACAAUUACCUAAACAAAUGUACAAUUUUAUUAAAAUUUGACAGCUGUUCUUCGUGUGUCUGGGUUUGAAUGAUUUAUUCAGGUUCACUUUAGAAAUCUACAUCAGCAACAGCAAUAUAUUUUAUACAGAAUCCUCCAGAAAAACUAUUGAUUAUGCCAGCUGAAUUUAGUUGCAGACGAAAUCUGCAUUUCUUAAAUGCAUUUCUCCCAACAAAGUGUUCUCAAAAAGUAAGUUUUGGAAUAUGCAUGAGUAGCCCAUUGUAUUCAUGGUCCCUUUCAUGUUCCCUAUCUCAUUGUUUAUGAUCAAUGUAAACAGAUCCUUUUAAAUAUUUAAAAAUAAAGAUCUAAUGUUCCAUAUUAGAGAUCUGAUC